GCUGUAGCUCAGUGGUAAAGCAUUUGCCUUGGGUGCAAAGGGUCCCAGGUUCAAUCCCUGACAUCUCCA